rnacentral:rRNA from 1 species
AACGAACGCUGGCGGCAUGCCUAACACAUGCAAGUCGAACGAGAUCUUCGGGUCUAGUGGCGCACGGGUGCGUAACGCGUGGGAAUCUGCCCUUUGGUUCGGAAUAACAGUUGGAAACGACUGCUAAUACCGGAUGAUGACGAAAGUCCAAAGAUUUAUCGCCAGAGGAUGAACCCGCGUAGGAUUAGCUAGUUGGUGUGGUAAAGGCGCACCAAGGCGACGAUCCUUAGCUGGUCUGAGAGGAUGAUCAGCCACACUGGGACUGAGACACGGCCCAGACUCCUACGGGAGGCAGCAGUGGGGAAUAUUGGACAAUGGGCGAAAGCCUGAUCCAGCAAUGCCGCGUGAGUGAUGAAGGCCUUAGGGCUGUAAAGCUCUUUUACCCGGGAUGAUAAUGACAGUACCGGGAGAAUAAGCUCCGGCUAACUCCGUGCCAGCAGCCGCGGUAAAAC